GGGGCUGACCGGUUUUGACAGGAUGCGUGAGGGUGUAAGCAAGCAUGCAGGCUCAUGGGAUGAGAGCCUUGAAAGAUAGUCCUACAAUUUACGUGGCGAAACAACUUACGCCAUGGCUGCUUAAUCUGACGAUACGUUAGGUUAGCUUGUUCCGCUUAAGAAGCGGGAGGCCAUCAUCGCCCACACCUCUGUUUGGCGGGUGUGGAACCGCGGUGUCGAUAGCAUAAACUGGACUGGCUUGUGUUGCGCAGGCCGGUUGAGACAACAGCGACUAAGGGAUCUUUUAGGCCGUUGCCUGCCUUGGGGUUCACGAAAAUUAAAGUCAACUAAGCAUGUAGAAGGUGCACGUUCAUCUUCUCUGGACCAGGGUUCGAUUCCCUGCAGCUCCACCA
rnacentral:tmRNA from 1 species